AUUGAACGCUGGCGGCAUGCUUUACACAUGCCAGUCGAACGGCAGCGCGGGCUUCGGCCUGGCGGCGAGUGGCGAACGGGUGAGUAAUACAUCGGAACGUGCCCAGUAGUGGGGGAUAGCUCGGCGAAAGCCGGAUUAAUACCGCAUACGACCUGAGGGUGAAAGCGGGGGAUCUUCGGACCUCGCGCUAUUGGAGCGGCCGAUGGCAGAUUAGCUAGUUGGUGGGGUAAAGGCCUACCAAGGCGACGAUCUGUAGCUGGUCUGAGAGGACGACCAGCCACACUGGGACUGAGACACGGCCCAGACUCCUACGGGAGGCAGCAGUGGGGAAUUUUGGACAAUGGGCGAAAGCCUGAUCCAGCAAUGCCGCGUGUGUGAUGAAAGCCUUCGGGUUGUAAAGCACUUUUGGCGGGAACGAAAAGGACUGUGCCAAUACCACGGUUCGAUGACGGUACCCGCAGAAUAAGCACCGGCUAACUACGUG
rnacentral:rRNA from 1 species